GAUGAACGCUGGCGGCAUGCCUAAUACAUGCAAGCCGAACGAGAGGAAGGAAAGCUUGCUUUUCUGAAUCUAGUGGCGAACGGGUGAGUAACACGUAGGUAACCUGCCCAUGUGCCCGGGAUAACUUCUGGAAACGGAUGCUAAAACCGGAUAGGUAGCAGACAAGCAUUUGACUGCUAUUAAAGUGGCUAAGGCCAUGAACAUGGAUGGACCUGGGGUGCAUUAGAUAGUUGGUGAGGUAACGGCCCACCAAGGCGACGAUGCAUAGCCGGCCUGAGAGGGCGGACGGCCACAUUGGGACUGAGACACGGCCCAAACUCCUACGGGAGGCAGCAGUAGGGAAUUUUCGUCAAUGGGGGGAACCCUGAACGAGCAAUGCCGCGUGAGUGAGGAAGGUCUUCGGAUCGUAAAGCUCUGUUGUAAGAGAAAAACGACAUUCAUAGGGAAUGAUGAGUGAGUGAUGGUAUCUUACCAGAAAGUCACGGCUAACUACGUGCCAGCAGCCGCCGUAAAAC
rnacentral:rRNA from 1 species